UACGAAGGGGGCGAGCGUUGUUCGGAAUUACUGGGCGUAAAGCGUGCGCAGGCGGUUUUGUAAGCCAGAUGUGAAAUCCCCGGGCUUAACCUGGGAAUGGCAUUUGGGACUGCAAGGCUCGAGUGCGGCAGAGGAGACUGGAAUUCCUGGUGUAGCAGUGAAAUGCGUAGAUAUCAGGAGGAACACCGAUGGCGAAGGCAGGUCUCUGGGCUGACACUGACGCUCAUGCACGAAAGCGUGGGGAGCAAACAGG
rnacentral:rRNA from 1 species